GACGUAGGGCGCGAGCGUUGUCCGGAUUUAUUGGGCGUAAAGAGCUCGUAGGCGGCUUGUCGCGUCGUCCGUGAAAACUUGGGGCUCAACUCCAAGCUUGCGUCGAUGACGGCAGGCUCGAGUUCGGUAGGGGAGACUGGAAUUCCUGGUGUAGCGGUGAAAUGACGCAGAUAUCAGGAGGAACACCGGUGGCGAAGGCGGGUCUCUGGGCCGAUACUGACGCUGAGGAGCGAAAGCGUGGGGAGCGAACAGG
rnacentral:rRNA from 1 species